CGCGCCGAUCCAGAACCUUCUCCACAACAUACUCCUCUUCUUCUUCCUCCACCACUUCUUCCGCUUUCUUUUUUUGUUUCUUCCCUGCUGGUGAUUGCUUGGUUUCAGACUGAGAAACUGGAGCUGGAUACAUGAAUGACUCUUUAGUUCACCUUACCUGCAUUACUUGGGACCCAGAGCAAAGCUACGCUGACACACAGGGAGAACAUGCAGAAAGGCCUCCCCUCAGGACUCUUGAACCCAGCUGCUUAUGCAUUAAUUAUGCUGUGAAGAGGUGAAGCCCAAAUGAUACAGACUCAGACAUGGAUGCUAGCAAUGCCAGAACACCCGAAGCACACUCCAGGGAGUUCUAGGGGUUGUGGAUACAAAAAAAUGAGCCAUAAACAACUUUCACAAAAUGUAAAAACAUUAUACGUGUUAACCAUUAUCCUGUAUUUUUGUUGUGUACUUGUUUGAUUUAUGGCUGUUUAACAAUAAUGCAAGACUGUUAGGGGGAAAAAAAUAUAGUACUGCCAUUGCUCUGACUUCCAUGCAUCAAUGGUGGAACACAUGAAUCUCACUCCUGGAAGAGCUGGUGUUUGUGGACCAAGAAAAUGAGAGUAAACUUUUUUUUUUUUUGAAUAAUUACAUAUGUAAUCACUGUGCUCCUGUACUUUUGUUAUUUUCUUGUUUGAUUAAUGGUUGCUUUACAUUAAUGUAAAAAUAUAAGAGAAAAUGCCAUUGCCACAUGCUCAGACUUAACCACAUUCUACUAUUUUUAUUUUCUUGUUUGAACAGUAUCUAUUUAACAAAUGGAAUACAUUUUUUAAAAAUGUAUUAUUCACAAUAAAAUAUGUUGUGCUAAAUUA